GCGAGGCCCCUCCCCCCUUUGUCUCAGGACCUCGGAGGUGCGGGGCCGCGCUCCGCCGGAGCAGGUGGCGCGGCGCUGGCCCUGGCGGCCCCCGAGCGUCCGGGCUUGAUUGCAACCCGCGUGCGAGGGGGAAACGGGAGAAAGAGUGACACCGGGCAGGCGGAGGGCAACUGCCAUUAUUAAGCCCCGGGCUGGCCGGGCGCGGCCACCAGCCCUUCCUCCCCGGUGGCAGCCGAAGCGCGCAGGGCGCCAGCCUGUGUCCUGGGAUGUGGAAGACGCAGAGCCGGGAUACGAACCCGGACCUUUGGCUCUCGGCCGGGCUGAGGAAAAUGAGUAUUCGAACCAGGAUUUGAAAACCGGGAAGGGUUUGAUGAGUGGCAGUGACUAGCGAGCUCUGCCCUCAUCGCCCUUAGGAAGACCUUUGAUUUUUUUAUUUUAUUUUUUUAUAGGCCACACUUUUCCUCCUCGGUAAAAAUGGCUGGACUUAGGAAAACUAAUAACUAAUAUGUCCACCUCCUAGCAAAUUAUUGGAACGAACGUGAGAAAUCACAAGGAGGGGAGUGGAGCAGAGGGAGAAGCAGACUACCUACUGAACAGGGAGCCUGAAGUGGGCUGCGAUCCCAGGACCUUGAUAUCAUGACCUGAGCUGAAGACGGACACUUAACUGACUGAGCCACCCAGGUGCCCCUGAUAUUGUCUAUUCUAGAGAAAUCAUCAACUUCUUGUCCUUUACAAGGAGGAUAUACACUGUUUAGAUUAUGAGGCUCCUGUAAAAGUAGGGGUGCAAGUCCUGGGAAGAAGCAGGAAAAGGAGCAAAAAGCAGAUUUCUCUGAAGUUUUUCAUUUUCCCUAUCUCAAGUGGAUUGACACUACCCAACUUCAGGACUCCUAUAAAGCUACAAUAAUCAAGCCAGUGUGGUAUUUGUGAAGAAUAGAUAAAUACGUCAAUGGAGCAGAAUAGAGUCCCAGAAAUAGACUCACAUAAAAACAGCCAACUCCUUGACCAAGGAGAAAAGGUAAUACAAUGGAGCAAAGAGUCUUUUCAACAAAUGGUGCUGGAACAACUGGGUAUCUAUAUGCAAAAAAAUAAAUCCAGACCUAAAUGUAAAAUGCAAAACUGUGAAUCCCCUAGGAGAUAACAGGGGAAAAUCUGGAUGAUCAUGGAGAUGGUGAUGAUGUUUUAGGUACAACAAAGUCAUGAUCCAUGAAAGAACCAAUAAACUAGACUUCAUUAAAGUUAAAAACUUUUGCUCUGCAAAGGACAUUGUCAAGAGAAUGAAAAGCCAGACUGGGUGAAAAUAUUUGCAGAAGACAUACCUGAU